ensembl:snRNA U6 U6 spliceosomal RNA
GUGCUCACUUGGGCAGCACAUAUGCUAAAAUUAAUGAUACAGAGAUUAGCAUGGCCCCAGUGCAAGGAUGGCAUGCAAAUUCAUGAAGUGUUCCAUAAUUAU